AUUGAACGCUGGCGGCGUGCUUUACACAUGCAAGUCGGACGAGUCGCGAACGGGUGAUUAACGCAUCGGAACGUACCGAGUAGUGGGGGAUAACUGUCCGAAAGGACAGCUACUACCGCAUAUUACUCCAGCGGCCGAUGUCUGAUGAGCUGGGUGGCGGGGUAAAGGCCCACCAAGGCGCAGAUCAGUAGCGGGUCUGAGAGGAUGAUCCGCCACACUGGGACUGAGACACGGCCCAGACUCCUACGGGAGGCAGCAGUGGGGAAUGUUGGACAAUGGGCGCAAGCCUGAUCCAGCCAUGCCGCGUGUCUGAAGAAGGCCUUCGGGUUGUAAAGGACUUUUGUCAGGGAAGCGGUACCUGAAGAAUAAGCACCGGCUAACUACGUGCCAGCCGCCGCGGUAAUAC
rnacentral:rRNA from 1 species